rnacentral:rRNA from 1 species
GUAGUCAUAUGCUUGUCUCAAAGAUUAAGCCAUGCAUGUCUAAGUAUAAGCAACUAUACGGUGAAACUGCGAAUGGCUCAUUAAAUCAGUUAUCGUUUAUUUGAUAGUACCUUACUACAUGGAUAACCGUGGUAAUUCUAGAGCUAAUACAUGCUAAAAACCUCGACUUCGGAAGGGGUGUAUUUAUUAGAUAAAAAACCAACGCCCUUCGGGGCUUCUUGGUGAUUCAUGAUAACUUCACGGAUCGCAUGGCCUUGCGCCGGCGACGGUUCAUUCAAAUUUCUGCCCUAUCAACUUUCGAUGGUAAGGUAUUGGCUUACCAUGGUUUCAACGGGUAACGGGGAAU